rnacentral:lncRNA from 10 species
CAAUAAAGUAGGUAUUGAUGGGACGUAUUUCAAAAUAAUAAGAGCUAUCUAUGACAAACCCACAGCCAAUAUCAUACUGAAUGGGCAAAAACUGGAAGCACACAAAGUGACUAUGCAGCCAGAGUUGAAUGUCAUGAGCCAAGUGUUAAGAGAUUCAACAAAUCACAAGAUCAGGAAGACAGAGCAAAAACCCAUUGCACAAAUGAAGUAAGAAAACAUACAUUUGGGGUCAGGCGUAAGCAGAUCCCUAAUGCAUGAAUAAAUUGCAUUAAUAUGAUCAAUGAUGUGGAAGUCAGCCAACAUUUCUCUUUGACUUCUCAAAUAUUUGCACAAUUGGCCCAUAAGUGGAGAAGCUAUGAAAAUAAAGAGUUAAAGCUUUGGGUUCAAACAGAAUGAAAUUCCACUCAGUACAUCUCAUCUACAGGCUGCUAUCUACUCCUGAAUGACUAACCUAUCACCAACAGAGGCUGAUGCUAAACCUUCAAAAUCACACUGUUUUCUAGGAGAAAAAGCCAAUUGCUUAGUGGCAAGUGGAUUAUAUUGGAUAAUUUUCAUCACAGAGGGAAAAUCUGUUAUUAAAAUGGAAACCUACUUUAAAAAAUAUAUGUGUGUGUAUGUGUAUGUGUGUGUAUCAUAUGACUCAUUUUAUUUUUCUACAUAUAUUGGUUUAUCUAUUAUUACAAUCAUAAAACUUACAGAAUGUCUCAUCUAUAAACAUGGAAUCCCAUAUGGGUCUAACACACCUAUUUUACACUCAAUAUGGCAUAGCUAUUGGCCAUGGUAUUCACUAAUCUCAUCAUGUACCCUAUAUCCCAGAACUUGAUGGCCUAACAACGUGGUUGAAUGACUUGUUGAAGGCUCAGCUAAGGCACUACAUUAAAAAUUAAUGCAUUGUAUCUGAAAUGAUUAUUGAACCAACAUUUAAUAGAUUGUGCUAUGUGUCCUAUAGUUAGAAUACAUGGUUCUGAGAACUAAGGGAUUGGAUUGGCUCCUUACCCAUGAUUUCCAAUGGCCAACUGAAUUAAUUUAUAUUUCUAGUCUCUGAAACAGUCAGGUUUCCAAUAUGAAAUUCUUGUGGAGAAGAACAAAACAAAACAGCAGACUCUAACAGCUAUCAGCAGGUAGCUUGUCUAACUUGAACAGCUAGCCCACGGUAUUCUCCUGCUGAAUGUAAAUACAUACGCAUUUUGAAAAUACACAUAUAUAUUCAAAAUCCUGUAUGAACACAGAAAAACUGUACAGACCUUAAAAAUCAUCAAUCAUCCCCCACCUCAAGUGCCUUCUGAUAUUUUUAUUAUCCCUAAUUUUUAUUAUCCUUAGUCUCCUUCUUGAGAAAAAAAUUAUCAAAAUACCAAUAUUUGAAAUGCUUGAACAUUAUAUUACCACUUAAUCCUACAGCAAAGCCCAGACUUCCUGAACUCUUCCUCUAAUGCAUAUAACAAAAGCUCAGCUCAAGUAGCAAGCUCCUUCCCCUGACACCUUCAUUCUCUUAUAGAGAUUCUCCACGGCUACCCAUUAUGGGUAAUCUCUCUUGAUGCCACAAGUACCAACUAACCCAACUUUGUGACUUAUAAGUACAUUCCAACUGAUCUUUGGUUGAAUGGCUGAAAGUUCCCAGGAGGCUUGGGGGUUUUCUCUUCCUCCUUCACAAUGUAAAUGUCUACUGAACUCUGAGCUGCAAUUACCAUCUGAUCACUUAAAUUUAUUUAUUAUGUUUUAGUUAUUAUGGUUGUAUAGCAAACCAUCUUUUGUCUCACAUAAAAAUGUAUUUUCACAAAUCUGCAGGAAGGUUAGGCCUUAGAAAAUACAGCUCAUCUCUGCUCCACAUGGAGUUAGUUGGGAUGCAUAAAGAAACUGAGGGUUAUUAUUUGAAGGUUUGGUAACUCACAUUUCUCACUUCUGAGCUAUAAAAACUCAACAGUUGGAUACUUGGAACAGGCAGAUGUCCUCAGGCAUCUUUUUUUAUCAUCUGUAUUUCUAUAUGCCCUCUAGAAACGUUCUCUCAGCACGACGGCUUAAUUGUAUAUGGAUGUCUUACACAGUGUCUCAGGGCUACAUUGAGCAAAAGAGAUGGCAUGGGAGGGAUUGUAUGAACAAUUUUAUGACAUAAAGUCCGAAAUAAUAGUGUCACUUUCUUAUCAUUCCCUUUGUUAGAUGCAAGUCACAAAGACAAGACCAUGUCCAAGCAAAGGAAAAUUACACUCACCUCUUCUAGGGGCUGAAAUAAUUUGUACAUAUAUUUCAAAAUCAUCUCAGAGGAUCAGUAGGCAAAACACAGUGUUGCAUUAUUGUCUGGCAUAAUCAGCUCUGAUAACCAUGUGGAAUUUGAGUUAUUUUUACAUAUUGUGUGGAACUAUUUGUACUUACUAAGGCAUUUGUACUGCUUCAAGACCAAUAAGAUUCAUGACUGGCUAAUUGUUGCAACAAUGGCAUGAGGAUUGGGAGGCAAUUUAGGGCUCAAACACCUAGGAGAUUUUGUCUGGAUUUUGUCACGAGGCAAUUGACCCAGACCAUCCAAAGUUGUGCUGAGGAGAAAGACCAAAAUGAUGGUUCCCUGCUAUGGACUUAGUACAAACUGCAGCAGUGAAGACUGUUCAAGCUUAAGCUGUCUUUACAGCUUUAUUAGCAGGUAGCAACAGGCUACCAUCUUUAGGGAUUGGAUUUGGAAUUCAAUUCAGGCAAGAAGUGAGGACACCUUGAUCUCAGAUUUCAGAAAGAAGUCCACUUAUUAGAAGUACCUAUGUGUGAAUAUGAGUGGCAGAAGAAAUAGACUACAGAACUCCUCAGGCUUCUUCCCCUCUCCUACUACUGCUUGCUCAUUGGAGAGCCACCACUGUUGUUGCCUUAACCUCUAAUAUUACUCCAUCUCUACAACCUCUAUGGUGAGAGCCAGGUCUGGUAUGCUGUUUAUCAAUACUCCUCUACCUCUUCCCCUAUGAGUGAAAGCUACAGCAGUAUCAGCACCAAGGACUGAGUGACUAAACACAUAUUAAGAAAUCUUCUAUUUUUUUCCAUAAUUGGUAUGUGGAGAAUUUUCACUCUCUUUUGAAUUGUUUUGAUAAAUCAAUUUUAAGCAAAUCAGUUUCCUGGCCUAAACAAAUGACCUAAAACUUGGUGAAUUAAAAACAUUUUUUUUCUCUCACAGUUCUGAGUCCAGAAGUCUGAAUCAGUGUCACUGAGCCAAAAUGAAGGUGUCAGUAGAGCCACGCUGACUCUAGCUGAAAAUCUAUUCCUUUCCCCUUCCAGCAAACAGUGGCUGCCUACAUCCCUUGAUUUAUUUUGCCAUUGAGGCCCCUUCAGUUGGCUCCUAUGAAUACAAUUUAUAUCUCAUACAAUGUGAAAACAACUUUAUCUACUAAAGAAGAGUGCGUCUGUACAGUUCCAUUUGCCUUUAGUUUUAAGACUACUCAUUUCCCUUUAUUUAGGUCACUUCCAUACACAUUUCAAAUGUAUAUAUUUAUUAUUGUUUUAUUUACAACCUAAUGUAUAUAAUAUUAUAUGUAUUCAUCAUUUUUACAUUAAAACAUUUAUAUUCUGUGAUAUUGAUAUUGAUUUAAAAAUUGGUACAUAUUAAAUAAAUUAACCUGAAUAAUUGUGGUAUUUCAUUUUGGAAAUCUAUAUUCUUUCAAGAGAUAAUUUAAUAUGUGACUUUGUUGUUUAUAUCUAUUUUCUUCAUAUUCCUUGUAUCUUUUCAUGUAAAUGUUGCUGCUAAGUUGUUUGUAGCACACAUUUUUAUUUGGUAUGUCUUAUUAUAAAUUUGAUUAGCAUUUAUAUCUACAUUUAAAUUUCUUCAAUAGGAAGAUUGGAAUAACUGAUAUGUGAUUGUUGUUAGCCUUUGCAUAUUACAUCUUUUCAUUUUCUCUUCACUUUGAUCUUAGUAACACCCUUUAUUUAGGUCUAUAUCUUCUACACUUUAAAGUCAUCUUUUAUUUUGUUAUGAAAUCAGAUAGUGAUUAUUUGUUAAAUAUGUGAGUUUAGCUCACACCCAUACACCCAUAUGUAAAUAUGUUAGAUGCAUCUAUUUAAUCUUUUUUUCUUUGUAAUUUUGUGAUUGCAUUUAUUUUAAGUACAUUGUCCUCGCUGCUUCCUUUACCCUAACAUACUGACUUUCACACAGAUACCCCCAUGGAAAACAAACAGGAAAUACAAAUUUUAAAGCAGCUUAUUCUUAUUGCUAGUUCCUGAUACAUGAUUUUUUAAAACUUUUAUUUUGGGUUCAUGGAUACAUGUGCAGGUUUGCCAUAUGGAUAAACUCAUGUCAUAGGGGUUUGUUGUACAGAUUAUUUGAUUACUCAGGUACUAAGCCUAGUACUCAAUAGUUAUUUUUCUUGACACUCUCCCUCCUCCUACCCUCCACCCUAAAAGUAGACCUCGGUGUCUGUUGUUCCCUCCUUUGUGUCCAUGAGAUCAUUUUUUUUUUUUAAUGGCCACAUAGCAUUCUGUGGAGUAUAUGUACCACAUUUCUUUAGCUAUUCUGCCACUGAUAGGCAUUUAGGUUGAUUUCAUGUCUUUGCUAUUGUGAAUAGGGCUGCAAUGAACAUAUACAUACAUGUGUCUUUAUUGUAGAAUGAUUUAUAUUCCUUUGGGUAUAUACUCAGUAAUGGGAUUGCUGGGUCAAAUAAUAGUUUUGUUUUUAGCUCUUUGAGGAAUUGCCACGCUGCUUUUCACAAUGGUUGAACUAAUUUACACUCCCACCAAGAGUACAUAAGCAUUCCCUUUUCUCUGCAAUCUUGCUUUCCACUUCUUUAUCUUUUUAAAUAAACUUCACAUUGUAGUAUCACUUCUUAAUUAUGUGAUUUUAUUAAAAACAAAACUUAGGAAGGCUUGUAGUUUCUUAACAGUUGUAUUUAUAACAAUAAAUACAACACAAUACGAUAGCUAAUAGAAAAAUAAUCUCUAUGACUUUAGAUAUCAUCCAUUAACACCUUAUUGUAAGUCUUUCCACUCUCUUGAUUUAUCCCUCUGAUUUUAUUUGAUUGAAUGAUCACUCUUCGUCUUUACCUUCACAGUCUUAUAUACAAUUAAAACUCUUGUUGAUUGCUCUCUUUUAAAUAAAUCAUUUAUCAAAGUGCAGUGCACAUGCUGAAAAGUGCCCAAAUACAUAUGCACAAAGUAUACUUAUCGGCAUAAACACCAUACACAAUUAUAAUUAUUACUUUAAUGUAAUUUUGUGAUACAAUCAUUAAGACUACGUUGAAGUAGUGUUAAAAGAAACAGCAUGCAACAUGCAAUUUAAAAUAAGAUUGAAAACAUUCUGUAUUAAGUUAUCUAUCAAGCAAAUGUUCAGUUGCCCUUACUCUACUCUUAGGCUUGUUUCUUCAGAUGGUAGAAUUUGGCUUGUGCCUAUGGAUACUUGAGGAGCCAUAGAGUCAGGAUAAUUAUUUAAUUUUAAAACAAACUAUAGUAGAAUAUAUACCAGGCUAACAAGGACAGUUAAGUAAAACAGAAGUAACUGAUAAAUUGGUAAAUGACAUUAGUCAUCAGUGUUCACCAUAUGUUUGAGAGAGAAUUAAAUUAUCUCUAUGCCAAUUUGUCUGGUAUUAUAGCCAAUAAUUAUUGUAGUGUAUUACUUCUAUUCUUUAAAGUGAAAAUAUAUUUUAAAACUUUAUAUUCUAAUAAUUUAAUAAUUCUAAAUAAUUUAGAAUAAUUUCUAAAUAUUUGCAAUGAGUUGAAUGUCUCAAAGCUCCCUUUAGAAACUGUGCCUACAAAAUAGCAAAAAGUAAUCAAAAUAGAGCUUUCCACAAAACACACACGUUAUUAUCUAACAGAAAGUGCAUAAAAACAAUGUGGCUAUCUCUACUUCCAUAAAUAAGUUGAAAAAAGCACAUACAAUUUUAAUACAUUUUGUUCUCUUGAUAAAUUAAUUCAUUAAUUUUUCAUGAUACAAAUUUGACCUUUUGUUUCUGUCAACUUAUUUUUAAUUAAUGUAAUCACUCACCUGAAAUGACCUUAUUAUUUGGUUUGUUUGGAUGUGUUAAUAAUGUAAAUAAUGCAUAUAGGAAGCAGAUUUAAAAGUAGUUGUUGAAAUGAAUGUAUCUCUUUCUCAUUCAGAAAUAUUAAUGUUUAGCAUCUUAGAAUGACCCUAGGAAUUCUUUAAGUAAUUACCUAAUUGCUUAAUUGUUCAUUAGAUACCCUAAUGCUAAAGAAAGCUAUUGACCAUUUUCUUACAAAUGGUUGUGCCUGGCACAGAGUAGUAUUUAAUUAUUUCUCUAUGGAUUAAAAUGUUGGCUUUAGAAUAUUGCAGUUAAUCAACUUCUGACUAUACGUGUCUAAAUUAGGAUUGAGGAUCAUCUCCAAAUAACCACUUUUCACUAUACAGGUAGUCAAUUAUCUCUACUCCAUUACUCAUCAGGGGCUGACUUUCCUUCACUGACUGUGUCUCAGACAAAACCACAGCUACUAUCAGAUUAAACUUUGCCUUUCUGUGCUGAUGUAUUAUUAUAACAAUAUGAAUAUUCAAGAGUUGACUGGCAGCAUAAAGUGAACUCAACAAUGUAUUCAAGAAUAUCAAGGGAUGUGUUGAAUCCGUUAGGAAAAGUCUAACCUUAUCUAUUGAAGUACAUUCCUGCACUUCCUUUUCAGCAUUCAGUUAUGUCUUCAUGAUAAAUUACAUCAAAGAUGUUUUCUUUUAGCAAUUUUCUUUUUCUGAUAGUCAUAGAUCUAUUCAUUUUGUAAAAUUG